rnacentral:lncRNA from 1 species
GCCUCCCCCGCCCGUGCCCGUCCCCGCGCGGUGUGGCCUCGCACGGCACUGCCCGCCACGGCUGGACCGGAGCGCUCGGGCGCCGCCCGCAGCGCCCGCUCUGCAUCGCACCCGGCCCGGGACGCCGGGAGUGCCCCUCGGUGCGGCCGCUACCCAGAGAGACGUGAGGACACCGGCUCCUGCCUGGCUGCCUCACCCUCCUUCAGCUGCUCCCCAUUGCUCUGCAGCAGCUCGAGGCUCAGCGACUGGACUCUGAUGUCUCUCUCUUCAGCAACAAGUACUCCGCUCUCCGCCCUCGCUCCUUGCUCUCCACGAGGAAGGUGUCGAGGACUUGUCCUCCCUUGCCCGGUGCCCGGUGCAGGAAAAGACUGAGCAACUGCUUGAAGAAGCACUUCAUCACAUUGGUGUGGAAGCUGAUACCCAUGUGUUUGUGUCUUUAUCCCUAAACUGCACGGCUCUGCAGCUCUGGAGGAGCAGGCUAGAACAUGACAAGAAAAGUUUCAAGGAAGGAGGUUAAAUUGUAUUUUAAGAAGCAGAUCCACCAGCUAGGAUGGAAACAGGGUCACUACAGCCGCUUGGAGAAGCGAAGGCCGGGGAAUCAAGUGCUCCCUGAGGGAAACCUGGUAUCACCUUCCCACUGCAGUGAGAAGGUAAACCAACCAGCCCAGAGUAUC